rnacentral:rRNA from 1 species
CCUACGGGCGGCUGCAGUCGAGAAUCAUUCACAAUGGGGGAAACCCUGAUGGUGCGACGCCGCGUGAGCGAUGAAGUAUUUCGGUAUGUAAAGCUCUAUCAGCAGGGAAGAAAAUGACGGUACCUGACUAAGAAGCCCCGGCUAACUACGUGCCAGCAGCCGCGGUAAUACGUAGGGGGCAAGCGUUAUCCGGAUUUACUGGGUGUAAAGGGAGCGUAGACGGCGGUGCAAGCCAGAUGUGAAAGCCCGGGGCUCAACCCCGGGACUGCAUUUGGAACUGUGCUGCUAGAGUGUCGGAGAGGCAGGCUGAAUUCCUAGUGUAGCGGUGAAAUGCGUAGAUAUUAGGAGGAACACCAGUGGCGAAGGCGGCCUGCUGGACGAUGACUGACGUUGAGGCUCGAAAGCGUGGGGAGCAAACAGGAUUAGAUACCCCAGUAGUC